AACGAACGCUGGCGGCAGGCUUAACACAUGCAAGUCGAGCGCCCCGCAAGGGGGGCGGCAGACGGGUGAGUAACGCGUGGGAAUCUACCCAUCUCUACGGAACAACUCCGGGAAACUGGAGCUAAUACCGUAUACGUCCUUCGGGAGAAAGAUUUAUCGGAGAUGGAUGAGCCCGCGUUGGAUUAGCUAGUUGGUGGGGUAAUGGCCUACCAAGGCGACGAUCCAUAGCUGGUCUGAGAGGAUGAUCAGCCACACUGGGACUGAGACACGGCCCAGACUCCUACGGGAGGCAGCAGUGGGGAAUAUUGGACAAUGGGCGAAAGCCUGAUCCAGCCAUGCCGCGUGAGUGAUGAAGGCCCUAGGGUUGUAAAGCUCUUUCAACGGUGAAGAUAAUGACGGUAACCGUAGAAGAAGCCCCGGCUAACUUCGUGCCAGCCGCCGCAGUAAAAC
rnacentral:rRNA from 1 species